rnacentral:rRNA from 1 species
GUCUACGGCCAUACCACCCUGAACACGCCCGGUCUCGUCUGAUCUCAGAAGCUAAGCAGGGUCGGGCCUGGUUAGUACUUGGAUGGGAGAAUUACAAGCAUGCUAGAUG